UUAAGUCGAUAGGCCCGAUCGGGUCUGUAUUGGGCCUCGCACGUCAGGGCGUCGCCUCGAAUGAAUCGGUCGAAUGUGCGGACGAGAUCCAUUAGGACUGACCGUUCAGAGACCAUAAACCUCUGAUUUGACCUCAGAUCAGGUAGGGACACCGCCUGAACUUAAGCAUAUCAAUAAGGCGAGGAACAGAAACCAACAGGGAUUCCCUCAGUAGUGGCGAAUGAAGCGGGAAAAGCUCAAGUUUGAAAUCUGGAGGCGACUUCAGAGUUGUAAGCUGAAGAGGUGUCGACCGACGCGGUCCGGGCCCAAUUUCCUUGGAACAGGAGGUCAUGGAGGGUGAGAACCCCGUCCUUGGCUCGGGAGCCGAUGUCCUUGUGUCGUAUCCUCGAAGAGUCGGGUUGUUUGGGAAUGCAGCUCAAAAUGGGUGGUAAAUUUCAUCUAAAGCUAAAUACUGGCGAGAGACCGAUAGCAAACAAGUAGAGUGAUCGAAAGAUGAAAAGUACUUUGAAAAGAGAGUGAAACAGUACGUGAAAUUGUUGAAAGGGAAGCGUUUGGCAUCAGCCCUCGGCGCUCGACGAUCAUCUGGGCUUCAUGUCCGGUGCACUUGUCGAACGUCGGGCCAGCGUCGGCUUUGCCCAUGGGAGAAAGGUGUGAGGGAUGUGGCUCCCUUCGGGGAGC
rnacentral:rRNA from 1 species